UGUCCAGUGAUGAAAAACUUACUACUCAUACCAUCUUUCGGGGUUGAUCGGUCGAUAUGUGGCCAUGUUGUUAUUCUGCAAUUCUAAUGCCA